AGGAAUUGGCGGGGGAGCACCGCAACGGGAGGAGCGUGCGGUUCAAUUGGAUUCAACGCCGGAAAACUCACCGGGGGCGACGGAGGGAUGAAAGCCAGGCUGAAGACCUUGCCCGAUUCUCCGAGAGGUGGUGCAUGGCCGUCGUCAGUUCGUACCGUAAGGCGUUCUGUUAAGUCAGAUAACGAACGAGACCCUCGCCUUCAGUCGCCACUUCACGAGCGAUCGUGAGAGCACACUGGAGGGAUCGCUGCCGCUAAGGCAGAGGAAGGAGAGGUCUACGGUAGGUCCGUAUGCCCCGAAUCUCCCGGGCAACACGCGCGCUACAAAGGUGGGGACAAUGGGAUCCGACCCCGAAAGGGGAAGGCAAUCCUGAAACCCCAUCGUAGUCUGGAUCGAGGGCUGUAACUCGCCCUCGUGAAAAUGGAUUCCGUAGUAAUCGCGGGUCAACAUCCCGCGGUGAAUGUGCCCCUGCUCUUUGCACACACCGCCCGUCAAGUCAUCCGAGUUGGGUCGGAGUGAGGGUGCCCUCUAUGGGUCGCUCGAACUUCGGUUCAGCAAGGGGGACUAAGUCGUAACAAGGUAACC
rnacentral:rRNA from 1 species